GGAAGAAAUUAUUUGUUAUUUUUUUUUUUAGAUAUUGAUGUAAUUAGGGAGAUUUAAGGUUUAAUUUAGCUAUAGUGGAAAGUACUGUGAAGGAAAUAUGAAAAAUUGAAAAGUUAUUUUUUAGGAAUUAUUAAUUUGUACCUUUUGUAUUAGGGUUUAAUAAAAUUAAUAAUGUAUUUUUAUUUCCCGAAUUUUUUUGAGCUACGAUUAAGCGUAUUGGUUGUUUUACAAAUCAGUUGUAUUAGUAUGUAGAAAUGAGAUUUUAUUCGAAAUUGAUGAUAUCUGGUUAGGUUUUGAAAAUUUUAUAUUUAGAAUAAUUUGUUUUUUUUUAAAAAAAAUUAUUAUUUAUUUAAUUUUAAGGGAUAAGCUUUGAAAUAGUUUAUAAAUGAGGUGUUGAGUUAUGCAAGGUUUGAAAUUUACUUAUGUUUGUCAUAAAAUAGUUAAAUUUUUAGACUUAAUUAAAAUGGUAGUUUUCUUAUUAAAUUUUUUUUAUUUGUAUUUAUGUUAAAAUUAGUAUAAUUUUUAAUUUUGAGAAUUUUUAAAAUUAUUUUUUUUAGUAAUUUAAAAAAAAUGAAUUAGGCAAUAUAUACUUUUGACUGUUUAUCAAAAACAUUGUAUUUUGUUUUAAUGAAAUAUAUGGUCUGCUCAAUGAGUUUUAAAUUGCUGUGGUAUUAUGACUAUACGAAGGUAUUGAAAUAAGGCUUUAAUUGGGUGCUAAGAGAAGGGCUGAACAAAAGUGCGCUUUAUUUUUUUUAAUAAUUUAAUUUGAUAUAAAAAUGAAAAAGUUUUUAUGAAUUUUUGGGACAAGAAGACCCUAUGAAUUUUUCUUUGUUAAGUUUUUGUGAUUUUUAUAAAAAAAUUAAAAGUUUUAAUAAAGUUGGUUGGGGUGACUAUUUAAGAUUAAGAAUCUUAAAUUUUGGUUGUAGUUAGAUCCAUUAUUAGUGAUUGUAUGAAUAAAAUACUCUAGGGAUAACAGCGUAAUUAUUUUGGAUAGUUCUUAUAGAUAAAGUAGUUUGCGACCUCGAUGUUGAAUUAAGAUUCUUUUGUAGUGUAGAGGCUAUAAAAAGGAGUUUGCUCAACUUUUAAAUUCUUACAUGAUUUGAGUUCAGACCGGCGUGAGUCAGGUCGGUUUCUAUCUAAAUAUUUUUAUUUAUUUUUUUUAGUACGAAAGGAAUUUAAAAGUUAAAAUUUUUAUGAAAUAAUUAAAAAAUUUAGUUAGAU
rnacentral:rRNA from 1 species